rnacentral:rRNA from 1 species
GACGAACGCUGGCGGCGUGCCUAAUACAUGCAAGUCGAACGCAGUGGGGACGGGUGAGUAACACGUGGGUAACCUCCCAUCAGAGGGGAUAACCAUUGGAAACAGGUGCUAAACCGCUACUGGUGGAUGGACCCGGGGGGCAUUAGCCAGGUGGAGAGGUAACGGCGCACCAAGGCCACGAUGCAUAGCUGACCUGAGAGGGUGAUCGGCAACACUGGAACUGAGACACGGCCCAGACUCCGACGGGAGGCAGCAUUAGGGAAUCUUCGGCAAUGGGCGAAAGUCUGACCGAGCAACGCCGCGUGGAUGAAGAAGGUUUUCGGAUCGUAAAACUCUGUUGUUAGAGAAGCGGUAUCUAACCAGAAAGCCACGGCUAACUACGUGCCAGCAGCCGCGGUAAUUC